rnacentral:rRNA from 1 species
UACAGAGGUCCCAAGCGUUGUUCGGAUUCAUUGGGCGUAAAGGGUGCGUAGGCGGCGCGGUAAGUCGGGUGUGAAAUCUCGGAGCUUAACUCCGAAACUGCAUUCGAUACUGCCGUGCUUGAGGACUGGAGGAGGAGACUGGAAUUUACGGUGUAGCGGUGAAAUGCGUAGAUAUCGUAAGGAAGACCAGUGGCGAAGGCGGGUCUCUGGACAGUUCCUGACGCUGAGGCACGAAGGCAGGGGAGCAAACGGGG